rnacentral:misc_RNA from 1 species
GAUGAAGAACGCAGCGAAAUGCGAUAAGUAAUGUGAAUUGCAGAAUUCAGUGAAUCAUCGAAUCUCUGAACGCACAUUGCGCCCGCCAGUAUUCUGGCGGGCAUGCCUGUUCGAGCGUCAUUUCAACCAUCAAGCCCCAGGCUUGUGUUGGGGACCUGCGGCUGCCGCAGGCCCUGAAAACCAGUGGCGGGCUCGCUGUCACACCGGGCGUAGUAGAUUUUACCUCGCUCUGGGCGUGCUGCGGGUUCCGGCCGUUAAAAAACCCUUUUAACCCAAGGUUGACCUCGGAUCAGGUAGGAAUACCCGCUGAACUUAAGCAUAUCAAUAAGCGGAGGA